GAUGAACGCUAGCGGCAGGCCUAACACAUGCAAGUCGAACGGUAACAGAUCUAGCUUGCUAGAUGCUGACGAGUGGCGCACGGGUGCGUAACGCGUAUACAAUCUACCUUUAACUGAGGCAUAGCCCAGAGAAAUUUGGAUUAAUACCUCAUAGUAUUAUAUUAAGGCAUCUUUUUAUAAUUAAAACUCCGGUGGUUAAAGAUGAGUAUGCGUCCUAUUAGCUUGUUGGUAAGGUAAAAGCUUACCAAGGCUACGAUAGGUAGGGGGCCUGAAAGGGUGAUCCCCCACACUGGUACUGAGACACGGACCAGACUCCUACGGGAGGCAGCAGUGAGGAAUAUUGCACAAUGGAGGAAACUCUGAUGCAGCCAUGCCGCGUGCAGGAUGAAUGCCCUAUGGGUUGUAAACUGCUUUUAUACAAGAAGAAACCUCGGUACGUGUACCGACUUGACGGUAUUGUAUGAAUAAGCACCGGCUAACUCCGUGCCAGCAGCCGCGGUAAUACGGAGGGUGCAAGCGUUAUCCGGAUUUAUUAGGUUUAAAGGGUCCGCAGGCGGAAUAUUAAGUCAGUGGUGAAAGCCUACAGCUCAACUGUAGAACUGCCAUUGAAACUGUUAUUCUUGAGUAUGGAUGAAGUGGGCGGAAUAUGUCAUGUAGCGGUGAAAUGCAUAGAUAUGACAUGGAACACCAAUUGCGAAGGCAGCUCACUAAACCAUUACUGACGCUCAUGGACGAAAGCGUGGGGAGCGAACAGGAUUAGAUACCCUGGUAGUCCACGCCGUAAACGAUGAUCACUAGAUGUUGGCGAUAUAAUGUCAGCGUUCAAGAGAAAUCGAUAAGUGAUCCACCUGGGGAGUACGUUCGCAAGAAUGAAACUCAAAGGAAUUGACGGGGGCCCGCACAAGCGGAGGAGCAUGUGGUUUAAUUCGAUGAUACGCGAGGAACCUUACCAAGGCUUAAAUGUAAUAUGACCGGUUGAGAGAUCAACCUUUUUUCGAACAGAUUACAAGGUGCUGCAUGGUUGUCGUCAGCUCGUGCCGUGAGGUGUCGGGUUAAGUCCCAUAACGAGCGCAACCCCUAUUUUUAGUUACCAGCGAGUAAUGUCGGGAACUCUAGAAAAACUGCCUGUGCAAACAGAGAGGAAGGUGGGGAUGACGUCAAAUCAUCACGGCCCUUAUGUCUUGGGCUACACACGUGCUACAAUGGUUACUACAAUGUGAUGCCAUCUGGUGACAGAGAGCUAAUCAAUAAAGGUAAUCUCAGUUCGGAUUGGAGUCUGCAACUCGACUCUAUGAAGUUGGAUUCGCUAGUAAUCGUAUAUCAGCCAUGAUACGGUGAAUACGUUCCCGGGCCUUGUACACACCGCCCGUCAAGCCAUGGAAGUUUGGGGUACCUGAUGUCAGUAACCGCAAGGAACUGCCUAGGGUAAAACAAAUAACUAGGGCUAAGUCGUAACAAGGUAGCCGUACCGGAAGGUGUGGCUGGAAUAUCUCUUUUUUUGAGUAAAUUCUUUUGUUUGGUUUCUAAUUCUAUCUUCUUUUUUACUUUUUUCCCUUUAGAGUCUCGUAGCUCAGCUGGUUAGAGCGCUACACUGAUAAUGUAGAGGUCGGCAGUUCGAGUCUGCCCGAGACUACAUUUAAAAAGGGGGGAUUAGCUCAGUUGGUUAGAGCGCCUGCUUUGCAAGCAGGAGGCCAUCGGUUCGAAUCCGAUAUUCUCCACAAAAAAGUUCUUUGACAUAUUGUAAUGAAUAUAUAUACUUAAUAUUUASAAAGUUAUUAAGGGCGUAUGGCGGAUGCCUUGGCUCUCAUUGGCGAUGAAGGACGUGACAAGCUGCGAUAAGUUUCGAUUAGGUGCAAAUAACCUUUGAAUCGAAAAUUU
rnacentral:rRNA from 1 species